rnacentral:rRNA from 1 species
UACGGAGGGGGUUAGCGUUGUUCGGAAUGACUGGGCGUAAAGCGCGCGUAGGCGGAUCGGGAAGUCGGGGGUGAAAUCCCGGGGCUCAACCCCGGAAUGGCCUUCGAAACUCCCGGUCUUGAGUUCGAGAGAGGUGAGUGGAAUUCCGAGUGUAGAGGUGAAAUUCGUAGAUAUUCGGAGGAACACCAGUGGCGAAGGCGGCUCACUGGCUCGACACUGACGCUGAAGUGCGAAAGCGUGGGGAGCAAACAGG